UCAAAUGGUGUUUGUCGAUUUUAAAAACUCCCAAGUAAAGCUAUUAUUAAUUUUAUGUACUUGUAUCUGUUGAAAUUCUACCCUCCUGAAUUCUUCAAAGGUACACGUACAAUCAAGGUGUUUCUGUUUAAUUGAGACUUAACAAUAAAUAAUCCAAGCAACACUUUGUAUUAUUUAUAAGUGUUCAAACAAUACAACGAUUACACGACUACGUAACCUAAGGAAUUAUAAACUAAUUCCUUUCUACCCCAAGACACAAAACUCCCUAGUUUUGUAUCUUCUAAGCUCUUCAUAAACUACAACUUGUCAAGCAACUCCCACUCACAAAACUCAUAUUGUAAACAAGACUCUUGAAUACAUUCUUACAAUUAUUCACUCAACUCACAGCACUCCCAAGUAAUAUCAAAACUCUUGAUCGUGUUUUGACCUUCUCUCUUUGUAAAUGCACAAUUUUCUCAAGCGAAACUAAUGCCCUAUUUAUAGAUUUGGAACUUCAGCAAGUUCUUGUUUGAUUCAACUUUGUCUUUGCCGCUACACAAACCUUGUUGAACUCAACUUGGACUCCUAUUCAACAUUACUUUUAAAAAGUAACCUUCUUUACUUAAACCUAGUCGAACCCAACUUCGAUUAAGUAAUAACUGCUACAAACGCGCUUUACUUAAACCUAGUCGAACCCAACUAGAAAUAAGUAAUAACUUCUACAAACGCGCUUUCUGAUUUAAACUUGGAUUCAUCAAAAAUGUGUUACUGUCUGCCUGCUCUACGCAACCUGUUUUAUGCAACUUUGCCAUAGUUCAAAACGUCUUUCACAAUUUCCUUGUUUUUGGAAAUAGCAAAUAUUUGUGCUGCUUGCAUUGAAUAGGUAAGUAAACAGUACCUUCUUCCCCCUUUUGACAUUAGAAAAAAAUCAAUAUAUCGAAUAGUUCCAAUCCUAUAAGGGAAUAGUAGAAAAAAAACAAGUGCCAGACAUUAGUUACACAAUAAAACUAAGAACCAAAAAACAACAUUAUCCAUCAAAAGCAAAGAUGAAAACUACAAGCUUACAUAUUAAACACAAAAACUCAACACCAUGCACAUUGAGAUUUAGACUUGAUCAGAAGGAGGAAAAGGGCAUGAAGAGGAGGAAACACCCUUUGAGAGUAAAACAAAGACAUUCUUUAGAUGCUCUGAAUUGACAUCCUUUCAUAUUCUAAAGCAAUAUGAGUCUGAGUCAAUUCUUCCUUGACUUGACAAUUCUGAGCACGCAACUUCACAAGUUCCUCCGCAUGUGUACGACGAAGUUGAUCCAUUCUUCUGAGUGAGCCUUAAUCAAGGUAUUUAUCUCCUGAUCCUUUGCAGUCAGGGUUGAUUUCAAUCUUUGCACACACACAUUAGUCCCUUUCUUAUUCUCAGGUAUAGUAGCAAGAUCCAUUUCUCCCAAGACAUCACUGAUAGACUGAAUUUGCCACUCAGUAACGGGAACAUUGAAAUACUUAAACACCAUACCUAACAAGAACCCAUAUGCCAAUGCACGCUUUUUUUCAUCAAGCACACACACGCCAUGUAUAUGACUAAGAAUUAAAGCAUGCAAAUUAAUUUGGAGUUUUGAUAGUAACAACUCCAUAAGAGUAAGAUCCAAGUAGUUUGCUUCUGUCCUCUUUUGCUUUCUAGGUAUAAUUAUUUUAUGCACUACAUCAAACAAUAGUUUGUGCAAAGUUAAAAUAGCUCCCUUAUCAAUCGUGGUGUACUCAGUCAAAGUAGGAUAUUGGAAAAUCGACGGCAUAUGUCAAUGGUAGAGGUAUUUCCUUCCAAUGAUGGCCAAUCUAUCUUAACAUGGUGAUCCCAACCCUUCUUUGGUACCCCAAGUAUAGAUGAUAGAUUCUCAGCAGUGAGGGUAAAGGACACACCACUAACUGUACUUGUUGCCUCCCCUAUUGCAUUAAUGUAAAACUCCCUAGUUUCUUUUCUUCCCAUUCUUCGCCUAUGAGUACCUAGUAGGAACAGGUCAAUCUCUCCUUGAACUUAUAACAAAACCAGUAGUUCCCUCAUGUCGUUACCCAACCCCAGAGAUCACUCUUCCCUAAUUACACUUCUUCCUCUAAAGGUUUCAACCCCAUCAGAGUCUAUUACUGUAGAGUCUUUGAGACCAGAUUGACUUAAAGAGGUAUUUUUUCUUUUCCUUUUCUUCUUACAUUCCACAAUGUCAUCAUCAAUAUGAAUAGGGUUAAAAGGAUAAACAGACUUACGCUUCAUAGAACGAGUCUUCUUAGUGUAUUUUGUCAAAAGUUCUGCAUCCCUGAUACGCUAUACUGAAUGAUUUACUCGAACAGGUUUAUUGAUUGUUGAUCUAGGGAUUGGGUUUUCUUCCGGCAUGAUCAUUGCAAUGGUUUGGCGAGAGGUUACACUUCGUCGGGACCUAAGUCACUUUUGCAGAAACGUCGGAUGGAUUUAAUGGCUUGUAGAAAGAUUAUGGCGUUCGUGGCUAGACAAGUUGAUGUAUUCCUGUCAGAAGCUGGUGAGUCUUUAUCAGAGGACUUCAUGGAUUAGAUAGUUGUUGGACUUAUCAUUAAUUCUAUUGUUUGUUUUUAAGGUAGUUCGAGGUCAUGUCAGGACAUACUUAUUUCUUUAAUUUUAGAUCAUGAACGAUUUAUUCA